UGGCAGUCUGGCAGAGGUUCAAUGAAUUCUCUGCAUACCAUGGGCUACCUGCCUUGUGACUCCCCACCCACAUUUCACACUCCCACCCACUGCAGUGCCACCAGGGCCCACCAUGUGCAGUGCCCUUGAUAUGGAAGGUAUAUUGUCUUCAGUUUGACAUAUCUUUCCCUCUUCUGGGAAUUUGCCAGUUCAGCUCCUCUUCAGGUUACAGUAUCCCUCCAAACAGAUCCCCGCUGGGACCUCAAGCUGUCUGCAUUCUCAGAUUCAUAUAAAAUCCCACACUCAUCCCCACACCAUGAGGGGCAGUGCAGUAUUCCUUCAAGACAGCCUGCCUUUCUUGACCAUCACUGUCAGCCUUACUCAGCCUCUUGCCUACAGGAAGUUUCAAGCCUCAAUGUGACACUGAUUUGUGGUACCAAGAGACUUUACAAAACCAAAUAAUUCCUGUAGCCUUGAAGCCUCUCACGGGGGGAGGAAAAACUUAGCUUCUCCUCCAUUUCAUAGGAGAUAUGUGGAAAGUGAGCAGGACCUUCUAAUCAAAGAAAACCAGAGCUGAAGAGGAGUUAAAGUGUCAAAAAUAUUUCAUUCAAGAAAAAUUAGGAAAAAGACCUCAGAAUAGAACUGGGCUCCAUUCUAAAUACAGCCUGAACAAGUGGGCAUUUAUAGUGGGAGCAAGCUGAGGGGAUCCCUGGAUGGAAAAUGACUAAGUGGAAACAUCAGUUUUGAUUACACUGACUGAAC
rnacentral:lncRNA from 1 species